rnacentral:rRNA from 1 species
ACCGAGUUUACAACUCCCAAACCCAAUGUGAACGUUACCAAACUGUUGCCUCGGCGGGGUCACGCCCCGGGUGCGUCGCAGCCCCGGAACCAGGCGCCCGCCGGAGGAACCAACCAAACUCUUUCUGUAGUCCCCUCGCGGACGUAUUUCUUACAGCUCUGAGCAAAAAUUCAAAAUGAAUCAAAACUUUCAACAACGGAUCUCUUGGUUCUGGCAUCGAUGAAGAACGCAGCGAAAUGCGAUAAGUAAUGUGAAUUGCAGAAUUCAGUGAAUCAUCGAAUCUUUGAACGCACAUUGCGCCCGCCAGUAUUCUGGCGGGCAUGCCUGUCCGAGCGUCAUUUCAACCCUCGAACCCCUCCGGGGGAUCGGCGUUGGGGAUCGGGACCCCUCACACGGGUGCCGGCCCCGAAAUACAGUGGCGGUCUCGCCGCAGCCUCUCCUGCGCAGUAGUUUGCACAACUCGCACCGGGAGCGCGGCGCGUCCACGUCCGUAAAACACCCAACUUUCUGAAAUGUUGACCUCGGAUCAGGUAGGAAUACCCGCUGAACUUAAGCAUAUAAA